rnacentral:rRNA from 1 species
AUUGAACGCUGGCGGCAUGCCUUACACAUGCAAGUCGAACGGCAGCACGGGAGCAAUCCUGGUGGCGAGCGGCGAACGGGUGAGUAAAGUAUCGGAACGUGCCCAGUCGUGGGGGAUAACGUAGCGAAAGUUACGCUAAUACCGCAUACGAUCUAUGGAUGAAAGCGGGGGAUCGCAAGACCUCGCGCGAUUGGAGCGGCCGAUAUCAGAUUAGGUAGUUGGUGGGGUAAAGGCUCACCAAGCCGACGAUCUGUAGCUGGUCUGAGAGGACGACCAGCCAAACUGGGACUGAGACACGGCCCAGACUCCUACGGGAGGCAGCAGUGGGGAAUUUUGGACAAUGGGCGAAAGCCUGAUCCAGCCAUGCCGCGUGCAGGAUGAAGGCCUUCGGGUUGUAAACUGCUUUUGUACGGAACGAAAAGGUUUGGGCUAAUAAGCUGAGCUCAUGACGGUACCGUAAGAAUAAGCACCGGCUAACUACGUGCCAGCCGCCGCCGUAA